ACCGCUCUCCAAGGACUCUCGAGCAGCUCCAUCUACAGAUUCACAUGGAGAAGAAUUAAGGGUUCCUGCCAAUCACCAGCACCACUUUGCCAGCCUUGUAAGUGGGCCACCUUGGAAUUGGAGCCUCCAGUUCCUACUGACAUCUGACUGCAACAUCAUGAGAGACCCUGAGUUUGAACCACCCAGCUGAGCUGCUUCUGAGCUAACCCACUGAAACCAGUCUUGCUCUGUCACCCAGGCUAGAGUGCAAUGGCAUAAUCUCAGCUCACUGCAACAUCUGCCUCCCAGGUUCAAGCAAUUCUCCUGCCUCAGCCUCCCAAGAAGGUGAAAGUACCUGAAUGAAACAACACCCAGUAGCCACUAGCACACCUAGCUCCCAGAUCUGUUUUUGAUGCCAUUCUUCAGUAAAAGGAAGCAAGGCUGCUUGGAGAAAUUGCUAUCAAGGACUGGGGUAGAAAAUAUACAAGAUGAAAUUGGAGCAUCUUGUAGUGCUUGAAAACAGUUGGCAUCUGUGUGAAGAUGUGAAUGGAGGAGGCAGAGUAGGCAGUGAGUGCCGCAGCCACAGCUUGUGUUCUCUGCAGCCCUGGCACAGAAGAUAGGAACACUCAUGGGGGAUGCGGCCACUGUGAUGUCUUCCCACACAAGAAGUGCCAAGUGCUUUUCUCAUGCUUUUCUGGAUUGUCCCAUGGUGGACGAGUCAGCAGGAGUGAGAUGGAGCAGCACAGUAGAGGGGUACCUGGCAAGGCCCGGAGGGAGGACCCCCUGCCCCAAACAUUUCAAUGAUAUCAGGUGUGCCACCUCUUUGAUCCAGCAAGUGGGAAGAACAGUCCCGGCCUCUUUGCACACAAGACCGUGAUACCAAUGCACCAUCACAGGCCCCACAGGGGAGCUGUCCGCUUCCCCACACAGCUGCUAGGGGCUCUUUUGCAUGUUCCCAACCUUUCCUGCCUUUAUCUGAUAUUCGUUCCUUAGAUCCUGGGAUGAGGAGGUGGACCAGCAGAAGGUGGGCUUGUGAAGGCAGCCCGGGGUCCAAAUCCUCCUGGCUCUUCAGCUUAGCGGGUUAGUUAACAUUCAGAAGCCUUCAUCUCCCAUCUGCAAAAUGGGCAUGUCCAACUCAGAAGCUGCCUUGAAGAAAGGGUCUACCCAGCAUGGUGCGUGGAGCCUAAGCAGUCAGUACUUCAGGACUUCACCCGGCCCCUUUCCAAUAACUGCUGCUGUCGCCCUCACAGGAUGUCACCUUCAGCGUCUGAAAGCUGGGUUUGAUGCGUCUGGAAAGGCGUCCCUGACAGGCGUCGUUGCCAGGAGCCCCUAGUGCCACCAGCAGCCAGCAGGGGAGGGCGUCCUCUGCCCGCUCACUUCUGACCCUUCUCUCGUUGCACCCGGAACAUGGUGCAGCUGGGAGCAGCCUGGGCUGCGCGGAAGGCUCAGAUUUGGGGACGGCCCUUGCCAGUGACUGUGAGCUGGGGUGUCUUGGAAACUCCCAGUCUCAGCUUCUCCAUUUAUAAGAUGAGAAUGAUCAUACCAGACUCAGGCAAGGUUGUUUGUGCAUUAGUGAAAUCAGACGUAUUAAAUAAAGUACCACAUUGAUCGUGGAGUUGUUGAAUAACCAAGAACACGCCUAUCUGUCUCCAAAAAAUAAAUGUUGAAAAUGA
ensembl:lncRNA LINC00658 long intergenic non-protein coding RNA 658